ensembl:lncRNA novel transcript
GUCAGGAGAUCAAGACCAUCCUGGCUAACACGGGUCUGAACGUAUGAUGCCAGUGACUGGAAGGAAACACUUAAGGGAUUCAGAGGUGACCUGGAUGUGCUUAGAGUUCUGCUGGUAACCAGGGCCUGCAAAUUAUGGUAUUACAUCUUGAUGAUUUCACUUUUCUGAACACCAGUAAUACUGAAGGAAAGAGCAUCUCCCUAUAGUUACACACAGAGCAUGAAGCCAAUGGUUUGCUCUUCUGACAAGAGAUUACAGAUAAGGAAAUGCUGGGUGAAGGACAUCCUUUACAGUGGCUCUGGAAGACCUGCCCCACAAUGGGAAUGGCCGUGUACUUUGAAUCAACUGCUUUGAUUAUG